UACAGAGGGUGCGAGCGUUAAUCGGAAUUACUGGGCGUAAAGCGCACGUAGGUGGCGACGUAAGUCGGGUGUGAAAUCCCCAGGCUUAACCUGGGAACUGCAUUCGAGACUGCAUUGCUAGAGUAUGGGAGAGGGAAGUGGAAUUUCCGGUGUAGCGGUGAAAUGCGUAGAUAUCGGAAGGAACAUCAGUGGCGAAAGCGACUUCCUGGACCAAUACUGACGCUCAUGUGCGAAAGCGUGGGGAGCAAACAGG
rnacentral:rRNA from 1 species